AAUUAGUAUUAUAGCUAAUCUUUAUUAAUAAAAUUAAUUAAUUAAUGCUUUAUCUGUGUCUGAGUGCAUAUAAUUCAAAAAACCCUAUAAUGCUGGAUUUUAGCCUAAUGCCCGGUAGUUCGAGCUCAACAAAUCCUUAGCGUCUCAUCUGAGCCUCACGUCGCCAGUCAUCCGCAUGCAAUCCAUAUCACUGUAACCACAUGUUUCAGCCAGCACAAAUGCCCGCAUCGUGGAGCUUCCUAGCAUCAUCAAAACCAUCCAUGUGGCUUUCCAAGCAUCAUGGCAUCUCCUCCAUGGAACCUAAAUCAAAUCCAUGGAACCUAAAUCAAACCCAUGGAACCUAAAUCAAACCUACGGGACCUAANN
rnacentral:lncRNA from 1 species